CAAUUUCUGUAGGUUUAACCUGCGGAGGGAUCAUUACCGAGUUUACAACUCCCAAACCCAAUGUGAACGUUACCAAACUGUUGCCUCGGCGGGAUCUCUGCCCCGGGUGCGUCGCAGCCCCGGACCAAGGCGCCCGCCGGAGGACCAACCAAAACUCUUAUUGUAUACCCCCUCGCGGGUUUUUUUAUAAUCUGAGCCUUCUCGGCGCCUCUCGUAGGCGUUUCGAAAAUGAAUCAAAACUUUCAACAACGGAUCUCUUGGUUCUGGCAUCGAUGAAGAACGCAGCGAAAUGCGAUAAGUAAUGUGAAUUGCAGAAUUCAGUGAAUCAUCGAAUCUUUGAACGCACAUUGCGCCCGCCAGUAUUCUGGCGGGCAUGCCUGUCCGAGCGUCAUUUCAACCCUCGAACCCCUCCGGGGGGUCGGCGUUGGGGAUCGGCCCUGCCUUGGCGGUGGCCGUCUCCGAAAUACAGUGGCGGUCUCGCCGCAGCCUCUCCUGCGCAGUAGUUUGCACACUCGCAUCGGGAGCGCGGCGCGUCCACAGCCGUUAAACACCCAACUUCUGAAAUGCGACCUACUGAUGCAGGUAGCAUCACG
rnacentral:rRNA from 1 species